GACGAACGCUGGCGGCGUGCCUAAUACAUGCAAGUAGAACGCUGAAGGAGGAGCUUGCUUCUCUGGAUGAGUUGCGAACGGGUGAGUAACGCGUAGGUAACCUGCCUGGUAGCGGGGGAUAACUAUUGGAAACGAUAGCUAAUACCGCAUAACAGUAGAUAUCGCAUGAUAUCUACUUGAAAGGUGCAAUUGCAUCACUACCAGAUGGACCUGCGUUGUAUUAGCUAGUUGGUGAGGUAACGGCUCACCAAGGCGACGAUACAUAGCCGACCUGAGAGGGGGGUGGGCCACCGGGGGACGGGAACGCGCCCCAGACUACACCGGGAGGGCCAAGAGGGGAAUUUUGGGCAAGGGAGGGAAGUUUGACCGAACAACGCCGGGGGAGAGAAAAAGGUUUUGGGGUCGUAAAGCUGUUUUUUAAGAGAAAAACGGGUGGGGGAGGGGAAGGUUCAAACUGUGAGGGGAUUUUACCAGAAAGGGACGGUAAACUACGG
rnacentral:rRNA from 1 species